AACAUGGUCAAAGAAUUGAAUAAUUCACUUAUUUGUGAUUUAUCAUUAAUGCGAUAUGAAAUUUGUUGAUGAUACAUUCCAGACGAAGCAUAUAAACCAGUAUCAUCGUAUACUAGAAACAAACAAAGAAACUGAUCGAAAGAGAUAUUGGGAGUAUGUUGAAGUUGACAGCGACAAAGUACCUACUAAAGCAUUCCAUGCAGUAGAUGGACCUAGAAUAAAGAAAAAUAAAUUUAACUUUUCACAAUAGAAUAACAAAAGUUAUACCUCAUUUGUAUGUGUUAUUGAGCUUUUGAUAUGAACAGAUUCUGCGAAUUCAUCAAAACGAUACAAGAAAACAAAACAAAAACAGUGCUGAGAGAUCAAUGCUCUUCUGUCUCUUAUAUUUUCCGUAUGUCGUCAAGCGUUAAAAUUUUCUUUCUGCUGCGAUAUUCAGGGAACUUGAAAUGAGUGUUUUUCUAGAGGUAAACAUUAACGCCUUACCAGACACUCGCCAAUUUAACUCUUUUCACAUUUU